UUAUGGUAAAGGCGUGUUUUAUCACUUACUUGACCCUGGAUUGUCAAGCUAUAUCAAGUGAUACACUCAACUUGGAUAGGUGAAGGGAGAGUUUUAAAACAAAAAUUUUUUUUGGAAUUGUUGAACCAUGAAACAGGCCUCCAUCCGCUGCCGUUCGAAACAGCAACUGCUAUAAAAGUUGGGGAGUUCUUGGGCGUUAUUCACAUUCCACAGUAGCUCUUGGAUUCUUACGGUUGUGCCUCAACUGUUAAAAUAUCUGCCAUAAUGAAGUCCUUGCUAUCCCUACUAUGCGUUGCGGCUCUGAUAGCAACUGUAGUUAGUGGAGGACUUCCCGGUUACUAUUCAAACUACUAUGGUUCGCCAUACAACUACUACUCGAGGUACUACGGUGGAUUGCCUGUAGCCCCAGCAGCACUCGCCGCACCGUUGGCACCCGCGGCAAUCGCGGCGCCAUAUGCUUCUGCUGCACUUGCCGCACCUGUUGCAGCUGCUUACAACUAUGGUUUGGGAUAUGGAUAUGGCUACGGAUAUGGCUACAACCCUUACAACGCAGCUUACUGGGGACUUUUGAAGAAGAAAUGAACACGGACUGUUUAAAUUGAUGAGUGAAUUCCAGCUGGUCUCAUUUGUUCAUACCGGAAAGUCCUUAAGGGCAAAAAAGUUCGAUGCUCAAAAUGAUUGACUACACUGAAAUGCCGUUGGAUUGUCUUACAUCUCACACAUUAUCACAUUGGUUGAAAUUCUAGCAAUAUUUGCUAAUCAUAAGUCAUGUUAGAAGGUUGUCAUAGAAUGAUGUAUGAACAAUGAGACCAAAUAAAGAAAAUAUUUUUUUA